GGAGAGAUGGCUCAGUGGUUAAGAGCAAUGACUGCUCUUCCAGAGGUCCUGAGUUCAAUUCCCAGCAACCACA
rnacentral:tRNA from 1 species